rnacentral:rRNA from 1 species
AGUGAACGCUGGCGGUAGGCCUAACACAUGCAAGUCGAACGGCAGCACAGUAAGAGCUUGCUCUUACGGGUGGCGAGUGGCGGACGGGUGAGGAAUACAUCGGAAUCUACUUUUUCGUGGGGGAUAACGUAGGGAAACUUACGCUAAUACCGCAUACGACCUACGGGUGAAAGCAGGGGAUCUUCGGACCUUGCGCGAUUGAUUGAGCCGAUGUCGGAUUAGCUAGUUGGCGGGGUAAAGGCCCACCAAGGCGACGAUCCGUAGCUGGUCUGAGAGGAUGAUCGGCCACACUGGAACUGAGACACGGUCCAGACUCCUACGGGAGGCAGCAGUGGGGAAUAUUGGACAAUGGGCGAAAGCCUGAUCCAGCCAUACCGCGUGGGUGAAGAAGGCCUUCGGGUUGUAAAGCCCUUUUGUUGGGAAAGAAAAGCAGCAGGUUAAUACCCGGCUGUUCUGACGGUACCCAAAGAAUAAGCACCGGCUAACUUCGUG